CCUACGGGAGGCAGCAGUGGGGAAUUUUGGACAAUGGGGGCAACCCUGAUCCAGCAAUGCCGCGUGAGUGAAGAAGGCCUUCGGGUUGUAAAGCUCUUUUGUCAGGGAAGAAACGGUUCGGGUUAAUACCUUGGACUAAUGACGGUACCUGAAGAAUAAGCACCGGCUAACUACGUGCCAGCAGCCGCGGUAAUACGUAGGGUGCAAGCGUUAAUCGGAAUUACUGGGCGUAAAGCGUGCGCAGGCGGUUAUGUAAGACAGAUGUGAAAUGCCCGGGCUCAACCUGGGAACUGCAUUUGUGACUGCAUGGCUAGAGUUUGGCAGAGGGGGGUAGAAUUCCACGUGUAGCAGUGAAAUGCGUAGAUAUGUGGAGGAAUACCGAUGGCGAAGGCAGCCCCCUGGGUCAAGACUGACGCUCAUGCACGAAAGCGUGGGGAGCAAACAGGAUUAGAUACCCUGGUAGUCCACGCCCUAAACGAUGUCUACUAGUUGUCGGGUCUUAAUUGACUUGGUAACGCAGCUAACGCGUGAAGUAGACCGCCUGGGGAUACGGUCGCAAGAUUAAAACUUAAUGAAUUGACGG
rnacentral:rRNA from 1 species